UACGGAAGGCAGCAGUGGGGAAUAUUGCACAAUGGGCGCAAGCCUGAUGCAGCCAUGCCGCGUGUAUGAAGAAGGCCUUCGGGUUGUAAAGUACUUUCAGUCGUGAGGAAGGUGUUAAGGUUAAUAACCUUAGCAAUUGACGUUAGCGACAGAAGAAGCACCGGCUAACUCCGUGCCAGCAGCCGCGGUAAUACGGAGGGUGCGAGCGUUAAUCGGAAUUACUGGGCGUAAAGGGCACGCAGGCGGUUAAUUAAGUUGGAUGUGAAAUCCCCGGGCUUAACCUGGGAAUGGCAUCAAGACUGGUUAGCUAGAGUCUUGUAGAGGGGGUAGAAUUCCAUGUGUAGCGGUGAAAUGCGUAGAGAUGUGGAGGAAUACCGGUGGCGAAGGCGGCCCCUGGGACAAAGACUGACGCUCAUGUGCGAAAGCGUGGGGAGCAAACAGGAUUAGAUACC
rnacentral:rRNA from 1 species